CCUACGGGAGGCAGCAGUUAGGGAUCUUGCGCAAUGGGCUAACGCCUGACGCAGCGACGCCGCGUGGGGGAGGACGGCCCUCGGGUUGUAAACCCCUUUUCGUGGGGACGAGGAAGGACGGUACCCACGGAAUAAGCACCGGCUAACUCCGUGCCAGCAGCCGCGGUAAU
rnacentral:rRNA from 1 species